rnacentral:rRNA from 1 species
UACGGAGGGGGCUAGCGUUGUUCGGAAUUACUGGGCGUAAAGCGCACGUAGGCGGCUUUGCAAGUCAGAGGUGAAAGCCCCGGGGCUCAACCCCCGGAAUUGCCUUUGAGACUGCAUCGCUAGAAUUGUGGAGAGGUAAGUGGAAUUCCGAGUGUAGAGGUGAAAUUCGUAGAUAUUCGGAAGAACACCAGUGGCGAAGGCGACUUACUGGACACAUAUUGACGCUGAGGUGCGAAAGCGUGGGGAGCAAACAGG